rnacentral:rRNA from 1 species
CGGGACACGUGGUAUCCUGUCUGAAUAUGGGGGGACCAUCCUCCAAGGCUAAAUACUCCUGACUGACCGAUAGUGAACCAGUACCGUGAGGGAAAGGCGAAAAGAACCCCGGCGAGGGGAGUGAAAAAGAACCUGAAACCGUGUACGUACAAGCAGUGGGAGCACAGAGCAAUCUGUGUGACUGCGUACCUUUUGUAUAAUGGGUCAGCGACUUAUAUUCUGUAGCAAGGUUAACCGAAUAGGGGAGCCGAAGGGAAACCGAGUCUUAACUGGGCGUUAAGUUGCAGGGUAUAGACCCGAAACCCGGUGAUCUAGCCAUGGGCAGGUUGAAGGUUGGGUAACACUAACUGGAGGACCGAACCGACUAAUGUUGAAAAAUUAGCGGAUGACUUGUGGCUGGGGGUGAAAGGCCAAUCAAACCGGGAGAUAGCUGGUUCUCCCCGAAAGCUAUUUAGGUAGCGCCUCGUGAAUUCAUCUCCGGGGGUAGAGCACUGUUUCGGCAAGGGGGUCAUCCCGACUUACCAACCCGAUGCAAACUGCGAAUACCGGAGAAUGUUAUCACGGGAGACACACGGCGGGUGCUAACGUCCGUCGUGAAGAGGGAAACAACCCAGACCGCCAGCUAAGGUCCCAAAGUCAUGGUUAAGUGGGAAACGAUGUGGGAAGGCCCAGACAGCCAGGAUGUUGGCUUAGAAGCAGCCAUCAUUUAAAGAAAGCGUAAUAGCUCACUGGUCGAGUCGGCCUGCGCGGAAGAUGUAACGGG